GGGGAGUGGCAGACGGGUGAGUAACGCGUGGGAAUCUGCCCUUAGGUGGGGGAUAGCCCGGGGAAACUCGGAUUAAUACCGCAUAACAUCUACGGAUCAAAGGUGGCCUCUUCUUGAAAGCUAUCGCCGAAGGAUGAGCCCGCGUUAGAUUAGCUUGUUGGUGAGGUAAAGGCUCACCAAGGCGACGAUC
rnacentral:rRNA from 1 species